rnacentral:rRNA from 2 species
GGAGCGUUCUGUAAGCCUGCGAAGGUGUGCUGUGAGGCAUGCUGGAGGUAUCAGAAGUGCGAAUGCUGACAUAAGUAACGAUAAAGCGGGUGAAAAGCCCGCUCGCCGGAAGACCAAGGGUUCCUGUCCAACGUUAAUCGGGGCAGGGUGAGUCGACCCCUAAGGCGAGGCCGAAAGGCGUAGUCGAUGGGAAACAGGUUAAUAUUCCUGUACUUGGUGUUACUGCGAAGGGGGGACGGAGAAGGCUAUGUUGGCCGGGCGACGGUUGUCCCGGUUUAAGCGUGUAGGCUGGUUUUCCAGGCAAAUCCGGAAAAUCAAGGCUGAGGCGUGAUGACGAGGCACUACGGUGCUGAAGCAACAAAUGCCCUGCUUCCAGGAAAAGCCUCUAAGCAUCAGGUAACAUCAAAUCGUACCCCAAACCGACACAGGUGGUCAGGUAGAGAAUACCAAGGCGCUUGAGAGAACUCGGGUGAAGGAACUAGGCAAAAUGGUGCCGUAACUUCGGGAGAAGGCACGCUGAUAUGUAGGUGAAGUCCCU